rnacentral:rRNA from 1 species
UACGAAGGGGGCUAGCGUUGCUCGGAAUUACUGGGCGUAAAGCGCACGUAGGCGGAUUGUUAAGUCGGGGGUGAAAUCCUGGAGCUCAACUCCAGAACUGCCUUCGAAACUGGCGAUCUUGAGUCCGGGAGAGGUGAGUGGAACUGCGAGUGUAGAGGUGAAAUUCGUAGAUAUUCGCAAGAACACCAGUGGCGAAGGCGGCUCACUGGCCCGGUGCUGACGCUGAGGUGCGAAAGCGUGGGGAGCAAACAGG